rnacentral:rRNA from 1 species
UACGUAGGGGGCAAGCGUUUAUCCGGAAUCAUUGGGCGUAAAGCGCGUGUAGGCGGUUCGUUAUGUCGGGUGUGAAAGCCCUCGGCUCAACUGAGGAAGUGCACCCGAAACUGGCGAGCUUGAGUACGAAAGAGGAUCGCGGAAUUCCCGGUGUAGAGGUGGAAUUCGUAGAUAUUAGGAAGAACACCAGUGGCGAAGGCGGCUCACUGGUCCGGUACUGACGCUG